UACAGAGGGUGCGAGCGUUGUCCGGAAUCACUGGGCGUAAAGGGCGCGUAGGCGGCUGGGUAAGCGUGUGGUGAAAGUCCGGGGCUCAACCCCGGAUCGGCCAUGCGAACUGUCCAGCUGGAGCACGGUAGAGGCACAUGGAAUUCCGGGUGUAGCGGUGGAAUGCGCAGAUAUCAGGAGGAACACCGGUGGCGAAGGCGGUUCUCUGGGCAUUACCUGACGCUGAGGAGCGAAAGUGUGAGGAGCGAACAGG
rnacentral:rRNA from 1 species